AGUGAACGCUGGCGGUAGGCCUAACACAUGCAAGUCGAACGGCAGCACAGUAAGAGCUUGCUCUUACGGGUGGCGAGUGGCGGACGGGUGAGGAAUACAUCGGAAUCUACUUUUUCGUGGGGGAUAACGUAGGGAAACUUACGCUAAUACCGCAUACGACCUACGGGUGAAAGCAGGGGAUCUUCGGACCUUGCGCGAUUGAAUGAGCCGCUGUCGGAUUAGCUAGUUGGCGGGGUAAAGGCCCACCAAGGCGACGAUCCGUAGCUGGUUUGAGAGGAUGAUCAGCCACACUGGAACUGAGACACGGUCCAGACUCCUACGGGAGGCAGCAGUGGGGAAUAUUGGACAAUGGGCGCAAGCCUGAUCCAGCCAUACCGCGUGGGUGAAGAAGGCCUUCGGGUUGUAAAGCCCUUUUGUUGGGAAAGAAAAGCAGCAGGUUAAUACCCCGCUGUUCUGACGGUGCCCAAAGAAUAAGCACCGGCUAACUUCGUG
rnacentral:rRNA from 1 species